CAAUAGCGUAUAUUAAAGUUGUUGCAGUUAAAAAGCUCGUAGUUGGAUUUGUGGCGUACGGUGUGUUCCGGGCACUUGUUGUCUGAGUAACCUGCUGUUGCCAUCCUUGGGUGGAACCUGUGUGGCAUUAGGUUGUCGUGCAGGGGAUGCCCAUCAUUUACUGUGAAAAAAUUAGAGUGUUCAAAGCAGGCUUAUGCCGUUGAAUAUAUUAGCAUGGAAUAAUGAGAUAGGACUUUUUUGCUAUUUUGUUGGUUUGCGCAAAGAGGUAAUGAUUAAUAGGGACAGUUGGGGGUAUUCGUAUUCCAUUGUCAGAGGUGAAAUUCUUGGAUUUUUGGAAGACGAACUACUGCGAAAGCAUUUACCAAGGACGUUUUCAUUAAC
rnacentral:rRNA from 1 species